GAAAAUUACGAGCGAAAGCCUAAAACUCAAAAGACUUGACGGUGCCCCAACCCUACCUAGAGGAGCCUGUUCCAUAAUCGAUAACCCACGAUCAACCCAACCACCUCUUGAAAUCACAGCCUAUAUACCGCCGUCGUCAGCCCCACCUUCUUAAAGAAACAAAGCAGGCUAAAUAGAACCCCACUAAAAAGUCAGGUCAAGGUGUAGCUAAUGGGGUGGAGAUAAUGGGCUACAUUUUCUAAUAUAGAACAUACGAACUAGUAUUUGAAAACAACUACAAAGGUGGAUUUAGCAGUAAGAUAAACAAGAAUAUUUAACUUAACACAGCCCUGGAGCACGUACACACCG
rnacentral:rRNA from 1 species